GAAUCAUUUAAAAAUUAGGUUUGUAAAUGUGGGUUCCCUUCCAAGGGUUUAUUCUAGUAGGAAUUUGUACUUCUGAGAUGCUGGGGAAAGCCCUGGCAAAUAGAGACUGCUAGAAAAAGCAAAGAUAGUAUCUGCUGUUCCAUAAACAAGCAGUUACUGGACGGCAGGUAAUUUCGGCUGUGUAAUGCAGGCAAGCGCUUAGCCUGUGCUACUAACCCCUUGCUAGGUCCCAUCUAAACUGUUUCACGCCUGAAAAUUGCUAUGGGGUUAAAUUGUCCAUCAGCAGGAAGAGAAAAAGGGAAGCUUCAUGUUCAUGAUGAGGAACAUGUUCAGAGAAGCGUCAAGCUUGAAUGGAAAGAGAGGGAGGAGAAAUGUCUGUAAAGAGAUUAUGGAGCUAAGUAAGGUAAGAACAGCUUUAAAACAGCAGGCACGGAAGUGAAUGGAUAGAAUGGAAGAGUCCACUCACUAGACCUAGAGAGACCUAGACUAGAUUCGCAGAGAUUAAAAUCACCCCAGCUGGUACACACAAGUUUUCUAGAAUUCUAGGAGUCCACAGAAUAGCAUUAAUCACCAUGGGAGUCUGGCAUCACUGCUGUGUGGAGCUGCCUUCAUGAAGCCGGCAGAGCAAAGAUCCAGGAGCAGAAGCCCAAAAAGCAUUGAAGGAGAGAAGCAGCAGGAUGGGGCUUCCAGAGCCGAGGCUGGACUGUACUGCUGCCAUCUCGACUCACUGCAACCUCCCUGCCUGAUUCUCCUGCCUCAGCCUGCCAAGUACCUGGGAUUGCAGGCGCGCGCCGCCACUCCUGACUGGUUUUCGUAUUUUUUGGUGGAGACGGGGUUUCGCCCUGUUGGCCGGGCUGGUCUCCAGCUCCUGACCGCGAGUGAUCUGCCAGCCUCGGCCUCCCGAGGUGCCAGGAUUGCAGACGGAGUCUCGCUCACUCAGUGCUCAGUGUUGCCCAGGCUGGAGUGCAGUGGCGUGAUCUCGGCUCCCUACAACCUCCACCUCCCAGCCACCUGCCUUGGCCUCCCAAAGUGCCGAGAUUGCAGCCUCUGCCUGGCCGCCACCCCAUCUAGGAAGUGAGGAGCAUCUCUGCCUGGCCGCCCAUCGUUUGGGAUGUGAGGAGCCCCUCUGCCCGGCCGCCCAGUCUGGGAAGUGAGGAGCGCCUCUUCCCGGCCACCAUCCCGUCUUGGAAGUGAGGAGUGUCUCUGCCCGGCCGCCCAUCGUCUGGGAUGUGGGGAGCGCCUCUGCCCCGCCAACCCGUCUGAGAUGUGAAGAGCGCCUCUGCCCGGCUGCGACCCCGUCUGGGAACUGAGGAGUGUCUCUGCCCCGCCGCCACCCCGUCUGGGAGGUGAGGAGCGUCUCUGACCGGCCGCCCCUUCUGAGAAGUGAGGAGCCCCUCCGCCCAGCAGCCGCCCCGUCUGGGAAGUGAGGAGCCCCUCUGCCUGGCCGCCACCCCGUCUGGGGGGUGUACCCAGCAGCUCAUUGAGAACGGGCCAUGAUGACGAUGGUGGUUUUGUCGAAUAGAACAGGGGGAAAUGUGGGGAAGGGAAGGAGAGAUCAGAUUGUUACUGUGUCUGUGUAGAAAGAAGUAGACAUAGGAGACUCCAUUUUGUUCUGUACUAAGAAAAGUUCUUCUGCCUUGGGAUGCUGUUAAUCUAUAACCUUACCCCCAACCCCGUGCUCUCUGAAACAUGUGCUGUGUCCACUAAGGGUUAAAUGGAUUAAGGGCGGUGCAAGAUGUGCUUUGUUAAACAGAGGCUUGAAGGCAGCAUACUCCUUAAGAGUCAUCACCACUCCCUGAUCUCAAGUACCCAGGGACACAAACACUGCAGAAGGCGGCAUGGCCCUCUGCCUAGGAAAACCAGAGACCUUUGUUCACAUGUUUAUCUGCUGACCUUCCCUCCACUAUUGUCCUAUGACCCUGCCAAAUCCCCCUCUCCGAGAAACACCCAAGAAUGAUCAAUAAAUACUAAAAAAAUUAAAAUAAAAUAAAAUAAAAUAAGCCUUGACCUCCCAGGCUCAGGUGAUCCUCCCAUGUCAGCCUCUCCGGUAGCUGGCACUACAGGUGCACACCACCACACCCAGCUAAUUUUUGUAUUUUCUUGUAGAGAAGGGCUCCCACCAUGAUUCCCAGGCUGGUCCCGAACCCCUGGGAAGGAGGGCUAAAGCUAUCCACCCUCCUCUUCCUCCCAAAGUGUUGUGAUUACAGUUGUAAGCUACUGUGCCUGGCCAAGAAAACAAUUUUUAAAGAGGCUAGGUAAUUCAAAGUCACACAGUUAAUAAUGGUGCAGUGAGAAAUGAAAAUGCUCACUCUGUGGCUUCAGAGCUUACACUCUCCUACUUUUAUGGAGUACACUAAAUUAGGAACCAGAUAAAACUUGUCAUCUUACAAAUCCUCCUCAUAAACCUUAUCUGUAAUAUCAGGAGAAGAAUACCUACUUUGUAUAGUUAUUGUGAUGAAUAAGUGAUUUUUAAAAAUAUUUAGCACAGCCUGGUACACAGUGUAUUUUCAAGAUAUGAUAGUUUAAAAAAAAAAAAAAAAACCUAAAACCCACAAAACAGACAUUUCAACAUGAGUUUUUCUUCAUACCUUCAUACGUUUUGUAUAAAUCUGGCCAUCUUUCAUUCUUCUUCCUCCCACUCUCUGGGAUUAUAUUGUUUUUAUGCAAUCGGGAUAAACUAAUAAACUAAU
rnacentral:lncRNA from 1 species